ACACGACUACAUUAGAUACCCGUGUAGUCCUAGCCGUAAACGAUACUCGCUAGGUGUCGGCCACGGUGCGACCGUUGUCGGUGCCGUAGGGAAGCCGUGAAGCGAGCCACCUGGGAAGUACGGCCGCAAGGCUGAAACUUAAAGGAAUUGGCGGGGGAGCACCACAACGGGUGGAGCUUGCGGUUCAAUUGGAUUCAACGCCGGACAACUCACCAGGAGCGACGGUUACAUGAAGGCCAGGCUGAUGACCUUGCCUGAUUUUCCG
rnacentral:rRNA from 1 species